GGGCGGGCUGGCCUAAUGGUAAGGCGCUUGAUUUCGGCUCAAGAGAUUGCAGGUUCGAUCCCUGCGUCGCUCA
rnacentral:tRNA from 1 species